UUUUUUAUGGAGAGUUUGAUCCUGGCUCAGGACGAACGCUGGCGGCGUGCUUAACACAUGCAAGUCGAACGGAAAGGCCUAGCUUGCUAGGUACUCGAG
rnacentral:rRNA from 1 species